UACGUAGGGGGCAAGCGUUGUCCGGAUUUAUUGGGCGUAAAGAGCGUGUAGGCGGCCAGACAGGUCAGCUGUGAAAACUCGAGGCUCAACCUCGAGACGUCGGUUGAAACCGUAUGGCUAGAGUCCGGAAGAGGAGAGUGGAAUUCCCGGUGUAGCGGUGAAAUGCGUAGAUAUCCGCAGGAACAUCCGAGGCGAAAGCGGCUUGCUGGAUCGCAACUGACGCUGAGGGACGAAAGCUAGGGGAGCAAACAGG
rnacentral:rRNA from 1 species